rnacentral:rRNA from 1 species
AUUGAACGCUGGCGGCAGGCUUAACACAUGCAAGUCGAGCGAGCGGCGGACUGGUGAGUAAUGUCUGGGAACCUGCCUGAUGUAGGGGGCUAACUACUGGAAACGGUAGCUAAUACCGCAUACCAUCAUUUGUGCCAAGAGGGGAUGAGCUACUAGGUGGGGUAAUGGCUCACCUAGGCGACGAUCCAUAGCUGGUCUGAGAGGAUGACCAGCAACACUGGAACUGAGACACGGUCCAGACUCCUACGGGAGGCAGCAGUGGGGAAUAUUGAACAAUGGGCGAAAGCCUGAUGCAGCAAUGCCGCGGGUGUGAAGAAGGCGUUCGGGUUGUAAAGCACUUUCAGCGAGGAGGCGUUACUCGCAGAAGAAGCAACGGCUAACUCCGUGCCAGCAGCCGCGGUAAUAC